UACGUAGGCAGCGAGCGUUGUUCGGAAUUACUGGGCGUAAAGAGUGUGUAGGCGGUGCUCUAAGUUCGGUGUGAAAUCUCCUGGCUCAACUGGGAGGGUGCGCCGGAAACUGGAGUGCUUGAGCGUGGGAGAGGAAAGCGGAAUUCCUGGUGUAGCGGUGAAAUGCGCAGAUAUCAGGAGGAACACCGAUGGCGAAGGCAGCUCGCUGGGACGGUACUGACGCUGGAGGCGCG
rnacentral:rRNA from 1 species